GAUGAACGCUGGCGGCGUGCCUAAUACAUGCAAGUCGAGCGAACGGACGAGAAGCUUGCUUUUCUGAUGUUAGCGGCGGACGGGUGAGUAACACGUGGAUAACCUACCUAUAAGACUGGGAUAACUUCGGGAAACCGGAGCUAAUACCGGAUAAUAUUUUGAACCGCAUGGUUCAAAAGUGAAAGACGGUCUUGCGGUCACUUAUAGAUGGAUCCGCGCUGCAUUAGCUAGUUGGUAAGGUAACGGCUUACCAAGGCAACGAUGCAUAGCCGACCUGAGAGGGUGAUCGGCGACACUGGAAGUGAGACGGCGUCCAGACUCCUACGGGAGGCAGCAGUAGGGAAUCGUCCGCAGUGGGCGAAAGCCUGACGGAGCGACGCCGAGUGAGAGAUGAAGGUCUUCGGAGCGUAAAACUCUGUUAUUAGGGAAGAACAUAUGUGUAAGUAGAUGUGCACAUCUUGACGGUACCUAAUCAGAAAGCCACGGCUAACUACGUG
rnacentral:rRNA from 1 species